UUCUGCUCAGGAUGAACCUGGCGGCGUGCCCUAAUACAUGCAAGUCGAGCGAAUAUAAGAGCUUGCUCUAUGAAGUUAGCGGCGGACGGGUGAUAACACGUGGGUACCUGCCCAUAAGACUGGGAUAACUCCGGGAAACCGGGGCUAAUCCGGAUAACAUUUUGACCGCAUGGUUCGAAAUUGAAAGGCGGCUUCGGCUGUCACUUAUGGAUGGRCCCGCGUCGCAUUARCUAGUUGGUGAGGUAACGGCUCACCAAGGCARCGAUGCGUARCCGRCCUGAGAGGGUGAUCGGCCACCUGGGCUGAGACACGGCCCAGACUCCUCGGGAGGCARCAGUAGGGAAUCUUCCCAAUGGACGAAAGUCUGACGGAGCAACCCGCGUGARUGAGAAGGCUUUGGGUGUAAAACUUGUUGUUAGGGAAGAACAAUCUAGUGAAUAAGUGGCACCUUGACGGUACCUACCAGAAAGCCACGGCUAACUACGUGCCAGCAGCCGCGGUAAUACGUAGGUGGCAAGCGUUUCCGGAAUUAUUGGGCGUAAAGCGCGCGCAGGGGUUYUUAAGUCUGAUGUGAAAGCCCACGGCUCAACCGUGGAGGGUCAUUGGAAACUGGGRGACUUGAGUGCAGAAGAGGAAAGUGGAAUUCCAGUGUAGCGGUGAAAUGCGUAGAGAUUGGAGGAACACCAGUGGCGAAGGCGACUUUCUGGUCUGUAACUGACCUGAGGCGCGAAAGCGUGGGGAGCAAACAGGAUUAGAUACCCUGGUAGUCCACGCCGUAAACGAUGAGUGUAAGUGUUAGGGGUUUCCGCCCUUUAGUGCUGAGUAACGCAUUAAGCACUCCCG
rnacentral:rRNA from 1 species